rnacentral:tRNA from 1 species
GGAUUUUGGCUCAGGGGUAGAGCACUCGCCUUGUACGCACGAGGCCCUGGGUUCCAUCCUCAGCACCA